GACGAACGCUGGCGGCGUGCCUAAUACAUGCAAGUUGAGCGCUGAAGGUUGGUACUUGUACCAACUGGAUGAGCAGCGAACGGGUGAGUAACGCGUGGGGAAUCUGCCUUUGAGCGGGGGACAACAUUUGGAAACGAAUGCUAAUACCGCAUAAAAACUUUAAACACAAGUUUUAAGUUUGAAAGAUGCAAUUGCAUCACUCAAAGAUGAUCCCGCGUUGUAUUAGCUAGUUGGUGAGGUAAAGGCUCACCAAGGCGAUGAUACAUAGCCGACCUGAGAGGGUGAUCAGCCACAGUGGGACUGAGACACGGCCCAAACGCCGACGGGAGGCAGCAGUAGGGAAUCUUCGGCAAUGGACGAAAGUCUGACCGAGCAACGCCGCGUGAGUGAAGAAGGUGUUCGGAUCGUAAAACUCUGUUGGUAGAGAAGAACGUUGGUGAGAGUGGAAAGCUCAUCAAGUGACGGUAACUACCCAGAAAGGGACGGCUAACUACGUG
rnacentral:rRNA from 1 species